rnacentral:rRNA from 1 species
UACGUAGGUGACCAGCGUUGUCCGGAUUUACUGGGCGUAAAGAGCGCGCAGGCGGUCGUUCAAGUCGAGUGUGAAAGCCCCCGGCUCAACUGGGGAGGGUCAUUCGAUACUGAUCGACUGGAAGGCAGGAGAGGGAAGCGGAAUUCCCGGUGUAGUGGUGAAAUGCGUAGAUAUCCGGAGGAACACCAGUGGCGAAGGCGACUUCCUGGCCUGUUCUUGACGCUGAGGCGCGAAAGCUGGGGGAGCAAACGGG